rnacentral:rRNA from 1 species
AAGAAGGCCUUCGGGUUGUAAAGCUCUUUCAGCAGGAGCGAAACGGUCGUUUUUAAUACAGACGGCUAAUGACGGUACCUGCAGAAGAAGCACCGGUUAACUACCUGCCAGCAGCCGCGGUAAUACGUAGGGUGCGAGCGUUAAUCGGAAUUACUGGGCGUAAAGCGUGCGCAGGCGGCGACAUAAGACAGAUGUGAAAUCCCCGGGCUCAACCUGGGAACUGCGUUUGUGACUGUGUGGCUAGAGUGUAGCAGAGGGGGGUGGAAUUCCACGUGUAGCAGUGAAAUGCGUAGAUAUGUGGAGGAACACCGAUGGCGAAGGCAGCCCCCUGGGUUAACACUGACGCUCAGCACGAAAGCGUGGGGAGCAAACAGUUAGAUACCCUGGUAG